CAACUCAAUCCAUUCUAUGAAUGCCUGUGUAUUAUACUUUGUUUUGGAUGUUGUUGUUCUUCUAAGUCUUCUUUAUGCACUUCAGAGGUUUAGUCUUGCGUUAAUUUUGGUAGAGGUCUAUAAAACUUCCUGAUAUUCUCACAUUAUACCUGGCAGCGACACGAAGGCUUAAUAAAUUACUUCAGAUAAACCUUGCAGCAGGUAAUUGUAUUAGUUAAUUCCAAAAAUUUUGGAUGAAUCACUUGUUUGGUGUGAUUUGAAUUAGUGAUUAACAAAUGUUUCGUCUUUUGUGGGUUCUAUCUUUGGCUGGUGUGCUUUGGCUGAUAAUUUGAAGGAACACUACUUGAACAGAUUAUAAAGUAGACCUUGUAUCAAUAUGGGUUGUUGUGUGUAUAUUAUACAUGAAGUAUAUAUAAAAUAUGUACUUGGUUUUUUGAUGUUAAAAACCUUACCUUACUAAGACAUUUUUUUUAAAUUGUGGAUGCUCUUAGGUACUAAAUGAAUAGCGUC
rnacentral:lncRNA from 1 species